CCUCCACCCCGCCCCGCGUCCUCCACGAUUGGCCGCUGCGCCCACGACCCCCUCCCGCCCGCACUACCCCGGCCCGCGCCGCCCUCCCGGCCCUUCUGUCGCGCACCCGCCGGCCUGCCGGGUCCCUGGAGCCGCGGUGAGUGCGCUCGGCCUCGGCCCGCGCGCGGGGAGGGCGCCCGGCGGCCUGCGGGCCCGGGUGGGGCUGGGCCCCGCGUCCCCUCCAGCUUUGCCCGCCCCGAGCUCCGCUGCUCCCGGCGGCCAGAACGGAGGGGUAGAGCAGCCCUCGGCGGCCCGGGGGGCGGGCGGCCGUGUCCGUCCCGGGGCCGCGGAGGCACAGGCGCCGCGAAGCCGCCCCGAGGGUUUCCCGCGGGCAGGGCCCGGCCCGGUAACAAGUUUGCGCUUUUGCUUCUCCAGGGCCGACCCGAGGCUACCUUGUGGCAGGUUCGGGGCCGGGCCCUGCCCCGGGGGGCGAGAGCCGGUCCGGGGCCAACCUCGGGCCCGGGAGUUCGUUCAGACGUCCGCGGGGGUGCAGCGGCCUCAGCUCUGCGCGCAGGAUGAAGACUAGAGGAUCAGACCAUUCAAACUGGAACGAUCAGAUGUUGGUAAUUUGACUUAAAAAACAAAACAAAAAACAUGACUACAGUUAGGACAGUGCUUAUGGUGACAGUAUUUUAGUGGAUGCUUUGCAUGCAUCUUAUUAAUUUUCACAACCCUGAGCACAUACUAUUCUCCCACAUUACAGAUGAAGACAAUUUAGGUAGUGACUUGCUCAAGAUCCCAUCACAUAUGAGGAGCUCUGAAUAGGAGACUUAAUGUGUAGUAUCUUGGCUCUUGGACCUCCAGAAAGUCACUUAUCUCUUGAGACUUGGUAUACUGAUAUACAAUUUAAAAAUGAAACCACACUUAAACACGUUGAACAAAUUUGAGGAGACAGACCACCAUAGAGCUGUUCAGAAUAUAAGCUCUUUAUAUAUAAAAUUGGACUGAAUCUGGAGAUUUUGCAAAACUUGGCACAAAAGAAGCAGCUCUGUCAGCAUGUUAAGUGGUUUUUGAUGUGUGUAGUAGCAAGUCUCCCAGCCGGAGCUUUGAUAUUAGCCUGUAAUAGCCUGAUAACCUCUUUUCAGAAGUGUUAAAUAAAACUAUUUAAUAAACACCUUGCAGUCGUUCUUAAUGCUAAUAACUUUGUCUUUAUUUGAUUUCUUUUUAUACCCCAUUCUACAGUCUACUUGCAAAAGAAGUUGUUUGGUUAAUUCAGUUAACAAAUAUUUGGGUCCCUUCUCCGAGCCAGACACUGCUAGAUGUGAUGGAAAAAACAGACAGAUUUACAUUCUAGUAGGGGAAAGGACCAUAGCGUAAGUAAAGUAUGUUGGGUGGCCCUCACUGCUAGAGAAAGUGAUAGGGAAUGCAUGUGUAUACAUUGAGAGUGGAGCGCAUUUAUAAUUAUUUAGAUAGGACUGGUGAUUAAAGGACCUCAAUACAGAAGUCCCGGGAAAUGUUAUUCCUGUAUAUGUAUAUUUUUGUGAAAACAAAUGCAAAGGCCCUAAGGUACAUAUGUGUUUAAAUAUUUGAGCCUUAAACCUAUCAUGACUAUAAUACAAGGAUA
rnacentral:lncRNA from 1 species